UUUUUUUUUUUUUUUUUUUUUUUUUUUUUUUUUCUUCC
rnacentral:ribozyme from 1 species